rnacentral:rRNA from 1 species
UACGAAGGGGGCUAGCGUUGCUCGGAAUCACUGGGCGUAAAGCGCACGUAGGCGGAUUGCUAAGUCAGGGGUGAAAUCCUGGAGCUCAACUCCAGAACUGCCUUUGAUACUGGCGAUCUCGAGUCCGGGGAGAGGUGAGUGGAACUGCGAGUGUAGAGGUGAAAUUCGUAGAUAUUCGCAAGAACACCAGUGGCGAAGGCGGCUCACUGGCCCGGUACUGACGCUGAGGUGCGAAAGCGUGGGGAGCAAACAGGG